rnacentral:rRNA from 1 species
UACAGAGGGUGCGAGCGUUGUCCGGAAUCACUGGGCGUAAAGGGCGCGUAGGUGGCACGACAAGUCAGUGGUGAAAGCUCGACGCUCAACGUCGAGUCGGCCACUGAUACUGUCGAGCUGGAGCACUGUAGAGGCUAAUGGAAUUCCGGGUGUAGCGGUGGAAUGCGUAGAGAUCCGGAAGAACACCGGUGGCGAAGGCGGUUAGCUGGGCAGUUGCUGACACUGAGGCGCGACAGCGUGGGGAGCAAACAGG